UUUGUGGAUUAUUUUUCAGUGGAGCUCUGUCAUACGGACUAUUUUGUGGAUUUUGACUUCUUGAACUGCGGAAGGACACGGACAGACUGUGCUGCACAAAUACCGCAGCUGUGGCAGCGGAGAGCAACACCUCUGUGAGCUCGUUUGAUAAUCUGUUAAAGAAGAUUUCAUAUUUUAUAUUUGGACAUUUGCUGGCCUAUGAGCCCUACUGCUGAUAAAAAUAAAAGCAAAACAAACUGAACAUUAAAGAAAACAAACGUUUUUGUUCAUAAUCCUGAGGUUUUCUGCUGUGAAUGUUGCAUUUAUUUUGGACACUACCAUAAAGGUUAAACAAAACAAAAUGGCAUUUGAACCAGAUUUUUCUGUUUUUGACUCUGACAUGGACGAUGACCUUGAGGACGGUUUCCCUCAGACCGAUGCCAUCCAUGACCUCCCUCCAGGAAAAGUUUUCCUGGCAUGUUGAAGUGGGAGAAGUAAACCCCAGCAGAAAAGCGGUGAAGCUGGGAUUGACUUCCCUCAUCAUCUGACAUCACAUCUGGACAGAAAGCAAAUACGUACAGAGUUGUCUAAAGGCCUUAUAGUAUAAAGUAAACUUAAAGUUUCACAGCUUGUCAAGCACAAGUUUGACAAGUGUCUUCCUUUUUUGAUAAAGCAUUGAUUUGUAAAGAAGUAUUUGUUUUCUGUGUUUAAUGUUGGUAAUUUAUCAAAAUAAAGUGAAACAAGCAGCAGCAAUUUCA